GGACUGAUCAAUAGAGGAAGCCUUGCUGACAUUCUCCAGCCCUAGCUAGCUCUGAUGUCGGGGGAUUUGAGGCCAAAGGCCACAUUUCCUUCUCCUUAACCUCUUGAGAAUUGCAUGAGAGGAAAGAAGAUUCACAUAUUAUUAUUGGUUCAUGCGUGGACAAGACUGCUUCCCCGUAACACAGCUGAUGAUAUAUCAUCCUUGGAGACUUGUUCUCUCCUAGAGCUCUUCAAAAAGACUCCCCAUCCCUUCUAUGACACUGCACCACAUAUUCUUCAUAGUGAUAUUAUAGCAUAAUUAAGACAUAUUUUAUGCAAGACAGGUUGUGUGAGGUGUCAUUGGAAAAGUUAUGAUUUGCUGAAUAUGAGUAUCCUAUUUGUAUGCUUGCAUCAUUUUUGUAUCUGAAGUUCUGAAUAUUGACUGUGUCUGUAUUUCAC